rnacentral:rRNA from 1 species
AUUGAACGCUGGCGGCAGGCCUAACACAUGCAAGUCGAACGGUAACAGGAAGCAGCUUGCUGCUUCGCUGACGAGUGGCGGACGGGUGAGUAAUGUCUGGGAAACUGCCUGAUGGAGGGGGAUAACUACUGGAAACGGUAGCUAAUACCGCAUAACGUCGCAAGACCAAAGAGGGGGACCUUAGGGCCUCUUGCCAUCGGAUGUGCCCAGAUGGGAUUAGCUAGUAGGUGGGGUAACGGCUCACCUAGGCGACGAUCCCUAGCUGGUCUGAGAGGAUGACCAGCCACACUGGAACUGAGACACGGUCCAGACUCCUACGGGAGGCAGCAGUGGGGAAUAUUGCACAAUGGGCGCAAGCCUGAUGCAGCCAUGCCGCGUGUAUGAAGAAGGCCUUCGGGUUGUAAAGUACUUUCAGCGGGGAGGAAGGGAGUAAAGUUAAUACCUUUGCUCAUUGACGUUACCCGCAGAAGAAGCACCGGCUAACUCCGU